rnacentral:rRNA from 1 species
AUUUCGUUUGCCGAGUAAAGUGGCGUACGGGUGAGUAACGCGUAGGCAACCUGCCCAUGUGCUUGGGAUAACAGAGCGAAAGUUCUGCUAAUACCGGAUACGAUCAUGGAUCGAGAGGUCGAUGAUGAAAGUCUGCCACUCGAAGAAGCAGACGCACAUGGAGGGGCCUGCGUCCUAUCAGCUAGUUGGUAGGGUAACGGCCUACCAAGGCGACGACGGGUAGCUGGUCUGAGAGGAUGAUCAGCCACACUGGCACUGGAACACGGGCCAGACUCCUACGGGAGGCAGCAGUGAGGAAUUUUGCGCAAUGGCCGCAAGGCUGACGCAGCAACGCCGCGUGGGUGAUGAAGGCCUUCGGGUCAUAAAGCCCUGUCAGGUGGGAAGAAAGUCACGAGGUCGAACAGGCUUUGUGUUUGACGGUACCACCAGAGGAAGCACCGGCUAACUCCGUGCCAGCAGCCGCGGUAAUACGGAGGGUGCGAGCGUUAUUCGGAAUUACUGGGCGUAAAGCGCGUGCAGGCGGGAAAGUAAGUCUGAUGUGAAAGCCCCGGGCUUAACCUGGGAAGUGCAUUGGAUACUGCUUUUCUUGAGUACUGGAGAGGAAGGGGGAAUUCCCGGUGUAGAGGUGAAAUUCGUAGAGAUCGGGAGGAAUACCAGUGGCGAAGGCGCCCUUCUGGACGGUUACUGACGCUGAGACGCGAAAGCGUGGGGAGCAAACAGGAUUAGAUACCCUGGUAGUCCACGCCGUAAACGAUGAUCACUAGGUGUAGCGGGUACUCAUUCCUGCUGUGCCGUAGCUAACGCGUUAAGUGAUCCGCCUGGGGAUUACGGUCGCAGACUAAACUCAAAGGAAUUGACGGGGCCGACAGCG